rnacentral:tRNA from 1 species
CGGUCGGCUGGAGGGGCAGCCCGCCCGGCGGGGUCGGUCGGAGGGCGUGGGUCGCUCGGCUCGGUCGGUUGGAGGCCGGCCCGCCCGGC